ensembl:lncRNA
UGGUAUUCCUAUUAUGUAUAGAUUGUCCUGCUUUAUAUUAUCCCAUAGAUCUCUUAGAUUGCUUUCAUGUUUUUUUCAUUUGGUUUUCUGUGUGCUAUCCUGAUUGGGUGAUUUCCAUUAUUCUAUCUUCCAAGUCACUAAUUCGUUCCUCUACAUUAUUCAUUCUGCUCUUUAGUGCCUUUAGCUCAGUUUGUGUCUCUGCAAAUAAAUUUUCUAAUUUUUCUAUGUUCCUCCUAUUUUCCAGUUACUUUGUAAAGGAAUCUGCAUUACUGUUCAUAUCUGCUCUUGAUAUUCAGCCUUAAUUCCUUGAGUAUUUUCUCCCUUUUGAACUAUAUGUCUGUCAGACUGCAGAGUUCUAUUUCAUUGUUUGCUGCUUCAUGUGAAUUCUGUUCCUUUGACUAGGAGUGGUUUCUGAGCUUAUUCAUCUUGCUUAUGUUUUUCUAUUUCUAUGAGUUUAGGGAAGCCAAACUGUAGUCUUGAAGGGCUCCUUCUAUGCAAGAGCACCCCUUUGUAUUUGGGGGGGGGGUUACUAUUUAUUUUAGGCCUGGGAAUUUGAAUAUUUGCUGUCUUUUCCUUUGGUGUGAGCAGGCUGUUAUCCCCAGGGUGCUGAGUGUGUUUCUAGGGAGAAGGAGGCAAUGGGUAGGGCUAGUAGUCAGUUCCUGGUUGCUGAGCUCUUAACAGUAGCAAGAGCCUGCAGGAAGGUGGCACAGGUACUCCUAGUUGCAAGGUCCUGGGAAGUGGUAAUGAGCCUUAGGCAGAUUUACAAGGUGCCCAAAGCAUUUGGCAGUGGCAGCAGCAAGGUGUGUGAGUUCUCAGGUGUGUGAGAGCAAUAACAGGUAGUGUGCAAUUGCAGUACCUUCCUCUGAGGUGACUGGAGCCGCAAGUGGUGCCUGUUUAGGAGCCCCUAGUGGUAGCAGGCCACGCCCACCUCUGGAGUGAGUCAUAAAUAUCGUGGUUUGCCCCCACCACCUGCAGACCACGUAAGAAGCACCCCAUUUCACUUAGCCCACACAGGAGGUUCUGCACAGGCUGCUCCUAGUUGCAGGAUCCUGGGAAGUGACACAGAUCAAGUGUGUUGGCACUGCCCAGAGCAUUUGGCAGUGGCAGCAGCAGCAUGUUUGUGCUCCCAAGAAUGUGAGAGCAACAAUAGGUGGUAUUCAGUCACAGUGCUCUCCUCUGUGGUGCCUCUGAGGUAACUGGGUCUGCGAGUGGUGCCUGUUCACGUGCCCCUAGUGGUGGUGGGCCAUGCCCAACUCUGGAGUCAGAGAUAACUGUGGUGGUUUGCCCCUGCCACCUGUAGACUGUGCAAGAAGCAACUCAUCCUGCUUAGCCCCCACAGAAGGUGCACCAGCUGCUCUUAGUUGUAGGUUUCUGGGAAGAGGCAGUGACCAAGAGUCUGGGCACUGCCCAAAGCAUUUGGCAGUGGUAGCAGCAGGGCAGGUGUGCUCCCAGCUGAGUGAGAGCAACAACAGGUGGUAUUCUGUCGCAUCGUCCUCUGUGGUGCCCUCUGAGGUGGUUUGGGCUGCCAGUGGUUUUUGUUCAGGCAUCUCCAGUGGUGGUGGGCUGUGCCCACCUCUGGAGUCAGAGAUAAUUGUGGUGGUUUGCCCCAGCCACCUGCAGACCACCCAAGAAGCACCCCAUCCCACUUAGCCCAUGUAGGAGGUGUUGCACUAGCUGCUCCUAGUUGUAGGGUCUUGGGAAGGGACAGGUGAUCAAGCAUCUGGGUGCUGCUCAGAGCAUUUGGCAGUGGCAGCUGCAAGGAGAGUGUGUUCCCAGGGGGUACUUGGUUGGAAUGCCCUCUUUUGUUUUUUUUUUUUUUGCCAACCCUGAGGUGACUGGGACCACAGGUGGAGCCCACUCACAAGCCCCCAGUGAUGGCAAGCCAUGCCUCCCUCUGGCCUCCCAGACAACUGCCAUAGUCAGUCUCAGCUGCCUAUAGAUCACACUAGAGGCACCCCAAUGAACUUGGCUCCCCACUGCCUUUAGCCCACACAAGAGGUACCUGGCCACCCGUAGCCU